rnacentral:rRNA from 1 species
GAUGGACGCUGGCGGCGUGCCUAAUACAUGCAAGUCGAGCGAACAGACGAGGAGCUUGCUCCUCUGACGUUAGCGGCGGACGGGAGAGUAACACUUGGAUAACCUACCUAUAAGACUGGGAUAACUUCUGGAAACCGGCGCUAAUACGGGAUAAUAUAUUGAACCGAAUGGUUCAAUAGUGAAAGACGGUUUUGUUGUCGGGUAAGGAUGGAUCCGCGCCGGAUUAGCUCGUGGGUAAGGUAACGGCCUACCAAGGGGACGAUGCGUAGCUGGCCUGAGAGGAUGAUCAGACACAUUGGGACUGAGACACGGCCCAAACUCCUACGGGAGGCAGCAGUGGGGAAUAUUGGACAAUGGGGGCAAGCAUGAUCCAGCCAUGCCGCGUGAGUGAUGAAGGCCUUAGGGUUGUAAAGCUCUUUCACCGAUGAAGAUAAUGACGGUAGUCGGAGAAGAAGCCCCGGCUAACUUCGUG